rnacentral:misc_RNA from 1 species
UUUCCGUAGGUGAACCUGCGGAAGGAUCAUUAUCGUACAAAAUGUCACGGGCAUGCUAGGGCUGUCUCUGACCCAAAACUCGUGCACGCCCGAGUGUGUCCUCUUGCAUCAUAAUCCAUCUCACCCUUUGUGCAUCACCGCGUGGGCACCCUUCGGGAACAUCUCUCAGGGGUGCUCGCGUUUUCACACAACCCCCCCUUUCAAACGUGUAGAAUGACCACACUUAUGCAAUUACUAAAACUUUCAACAACGGAUCUCUUGGCUCUC